AACGAACGCUGGCGGCAUGCCUAACACAUGCAAGUCGAACGAGACCUUCGGGUCUAGUGGCGCACGGGUGCGUAACGCGUGGGAACCUGCCCUUAGGUUCGGAAUAACUCCCCGAAAGGGGUGCUAAUACCGGAUAAUGUCUUCGGACCAAAGAUUUAUCGCCUUUGGAUGGGCCCGCGUUGGAUUAGCUAGUUGGUAGGGUAAAAGCCUACCAAGGCGACGAUCCAUAGCUGGUCUGAGAGGAUGAUCAGCCACACUGGGACUGAGACACGGCCCAGACUCCGACGGGAGGCAGCAGUGGGGAAUAUUGGACAAUGGGCGAAAGCCUGAUCCAGCAAUGCCGCGUGAGUGAUGAAGGCCUUAGGGUUGUAAAGCUCUUUUACCCGGGAUGAUAAUGACAGUACCGGGAGAAUAAGCUCCGGCGAACUCCGU
rnacentral:rRNA from 1 species